rnacentral:rRNA from 1 species
UAACGGCUUACCAAGCCGACGAUCAGUAGCCGACCUGAGAGGGUGACCGGCCACAUUGGGACUGAGACACGGCCCAGACUCCUACGGGAGGCAGCAGUGGGGGAUAUUGCACAAUGGGGGAAACCCUGAUGCAGCGACGCCGCGUGAAGGAAGAAGGCCUUCGGGUUGUAAACUUCUAUCAGCAGGGAAGAAAAUGACGGUACCUGACUAAGAAGCCCCGGCUAACUAC